GAUGAACGCUGGCGGCGUGCCUAAUACAUGCAGGUCGAGCGAACAGACGAGGAGCUUGCUCCUCUGACGUUAGCGGCGGACGGGCGAGUAACACGUGGAUAACCUACCUAUAAGACUGGGAUAACUUCGGGAAACCGGAGCUAAUACCGGAUAAUAUAUUGAACCGCAUGGUUCAAUAGUGAAAGACGGUUUUGCUGUCACUUAUAGAUGGAUCCGCGCCGCAUUAGCUAGUUGGUAAGGUAACGGCUUACCAAGGCAACGAUGCGUAGCCGACCUGAGAGGGUGAUCGGCCACACUGGAACUGAGACACGGUCCAGACUCCUACGGGAGGCAGCAGUAGGGAAUCUUCCGCAAUGGGCGAAAGCCUGACGGAGCAACGCCGCGUGAGUGAUGAAGGUCUUCGGAUCGUAAAACUCUGUUAUUAGGGAAGAACAAAUGUGUAAGUAACUAUGCACGUCUUGACGGUACCUAAUCAGAAAGCCACGGCUAACUACGUG
rnacentral:rRNA from 1 species